rnacentral:misc_RNA from 1 species
GAUGAAGAACGUAGCGAAAUGCGAUAAGUAGUGUGAAUUGAAGAAUUCAGUGAAUCAUCGAAUCUUUGAACGCACAUUGCGCCCAUUGGUAUUCCAAUGGGCAUGCCUGUUCGAGCGUCAUUUGUACCCUCAAGCUUUGCUUGGUGUUGGGCGUUUGUCUUUCGAGACUCGCCUUAAAAAGAUUGGCAGCCGGCAUACUGGUUUCGGAGCGCAGCACAAAUUGCGGUCUGUUCCUGAAUGUUGACGUCCAUGAAGCCCCCAUUAUCACUUUUGACCUCGGAUCAGGUAGGGAUACCCGCUGAACUUAAGCAUAUCAAUAAGCGGAGGA